CCACGGACGCAGCAGUGGGGGAUAUUGGACAAUGGGGGAAACCCUGAUCCAGCGAUGCCGCGUGAGGGAAGAAGGUUUUCGGAUUGUAAACCUCUGUGGAGGGGGACGAUAAUGACGGUACCCCUUUAGGAAGCCACGGCUAACUACGUGCCAGCAGCCGCGGUAAUACGUAGGUGGCGAGCGUUGUCCGGAAUUACUGGGUGUAAAGGGAGUGUAGGCGGGAAAGCAAGUCAGAAGUGAAAACUAUGGGCUUAACCCAUAGCCUGCUUUUGAAACUGUUUUUUUUUAGUGAAGUAGGGGCAAGC
rnacentral:rRNA from 1 species